UUGUGCAUAUAUUUGCAUAAUGUAUUAUAACUGGUCUUUACUUUCUUGCAUCUAUUCAACCACAUAUCCAAAUGUCAUGACAACAGAGUAAACUUAAACUAACCUAAAAACAAGCAAUAGCACUUGGCAUCAUCAACAAUAAAUUGGCAUAACGCUUUGAACACAAUAAACACACUAAAAGAGGCUGUUAUUGAAGGAAGGAGGACUUGAUAAAAACACCUAAAACCGAUAACUAAACGCUGUUGCUCUUUUCAAAUAAAGGUUAGUCCAUAAUAACCAAGAGAAUUUACAUAGAAGUCCUAAAGGUAUGGUAGCAAAAAAAAAAAACAACAACAGCUAAAUCAAUCAGAGAGUGUGUGGAAAAGGUUCAUUAAAAAAAAAAACAAUUACAAUUUUGGUGCAAGAAACCUUAACUAAGAUUAUAAGUAGACCUGAAGAAAGAAAAAUAAGCAGAAAGUCCGGACCCUAUGAAAUAGAUUUAAGAGCACCGUGUUGUUGUUGUCAUAUUUUCUUUUGAAACAGGAAAAAGAUCUUAUCAGUGGAGGGGGCGGCGAUAUUCUCCUUCUACACAACAUCUGAUUGGACAAAAUGAAAAUCCCUAAUGGAACGGCAAAAGCUGUUAAUCCAAACAGGAAAACUAGCCAUGAGCCCGGAGGAGCAGGGAGUUCUGGGAUUCUCCGCAUCGCCCUCUCGUGCCAGAUUAUCAAAGAGACAGAGCAGAAAGUUCAGUCCCAGUGAGGAAGAGCCGGAAAUCUCAGCCUUCGUUAAACCACCCGUGUGCUAGAGAAAAUUCAAUAUAACUGACAUAAUUAGCUCUUCAUUUUGUAUUUUAAUAAAAACAGAAUUACCUGCUGCAUUGCAAUGCAAGUCCCUUCAGUUUUUUUAAAGUAGGCCUAUAGACAAAAAAGAAGGAAAACCUGACGAAUUUGGGAAGAUGGUUGGGCAUGUUGCGUUCCCAAAUGCACAUAAUAAGCGAUUUAAACACACAGCCCUUACAGAGCAACAUUUACUGUGAAUGGAAACUGAAAAUAAACACGUUUCACUCUGAAACAUGCAGCGCGUCAGAACAUGUUUAUAUUUAAUUACAUCACAGCUAUUGCGAUUUGAUGAUCGCACUAAGCCAUAUCACAUUCUCACAACCAUGCAUUGUCAAAAUUCAUAAAGAAGUUCCCAGGCAACUGGCGAAUAACAUGUUUUUACUCGCAUUUGGCACAUUGAACCCUGGGUAACAUACUAAGGGUGUGUUCCACACGUCACUGCAAACUCUGUCAGAAGCAAUCCAUGCACAAGUAUUAGAAAACGUAACUUUUUGCAGUAUAUUUAGUAAUUGUUUAAGGCAAUUUUGCGACAUCAUACACUAAUAGUCAGCCAACCAAUUUUUAUCAUUGUUAUUUUUCUGUAUGCAUAGAAGAUCUAUUACACUUUAUAAAAAUGAAUAUAACUGCACACUCACACUUAUAAGUUAACUUCUAAGUGAGUGUGCAGUUAUAUGCAGUGUUUAUAUUUGGAUUUUUAAUGUGGUCUUUUUUUGUACAGCACUUUGGUCAGCUUUCUCACUGUUUUUAAAUGUGCUUUACAAAUAAAAUUAACUUGAACUUA